GUCUGAGGGACAGGACCAGACCCCAUAUUCCCCAGGGCUUACAUGAGCUGUGCAGGGAAAAGAAAAAAAAAAAUCUUUUUUGUACCAUCACAGCUUACUAAAGGACAACAUUUAGAGAGGGAAUUGAAUAUUGAGCUCUGCUUGUAAACAGAGAAAGACAAGCAUUAGCUGGGAAGAAGGCAGAACUUGUCUCAGAGGAGAAAUUUGUACCUUUCCAGCACAACUCCUGCCUAUUGGAAGGCAGGAAAAACUCCUCUGAGCAAGACCUCUGUGGCCACCAGCUGCCUGCUGUAAGCUCCAGGAGAACAGCUCCAUCAUGCAAGAACUGUGGCAUGUGUCAUGGAUCAGGAGUGGGUGAGACCUGGGAGCCUUUGGCAGUGUUUAGAUCACCAUGCAGUGAAUCAACCAGAUGUUACCAUGUCUCAGUUGUGGCUAGCUCAAAUUUUUGCUGCCCAAUGCAAAACUGUGGUGCUACCACACCAGAUCACUGCUCAGCUGUCCUCCUGCAGCAUAGCUGCAAAUCCAUAGCCUCACUUACUUCUACAGCAGCUUCUCCAGGGAUAACUUGAGAGUAAAAUACAGUCUCUGCUCCUUCAUGCUGAACAACAUAAACCCAGGUGCACCUGGAAGCUAAAACAGUGACCUGGAAUGGCUAAGAGAGCAUAAGGAGAAGAAAAAGCAGCUAUUCUCAGCAACAGGCACUGAGAAAACAAAGGCUGUGUCAUUAAAUCAAUUGUCCCUGUAAAAAAAGGGGGUGACCUGCAAGAUCCCAGGCCAGCAUACAUCAAAGUAGCCAGUACAGAAAAUUUCCCUGGAGACUGACUGACUCAUCAGGAGCUCAGACUUUGCUGUGAUCCUUCUUUGAGCCUUUCCUGUGGCAACAGCUCCCUCCAGCUGCUGCCUCUGCAGCACAGCAUCACCACAAACUGCAGCAGCUCACAUCAAACACCGAGGGAAUGGCAGGUAUUCCCAGGAUUCCUAUGGCUCCAAGUGACAGCUGGGUACCCAGGCACUUAUCCAAUGCCUGUGGUGUCUGCAUUCCCCCUCUCCCUGUGUUGGCAGGGCUGUGACAGAUGCUGGAUGCUUGGGCUGUCUCCUCUCUAAAUGCUCUGUACCACCUGUGCAGAAAAACACACACACCAUUGAGCAGAAAAAAGCAGAAUCGAGGCAAGAUAGACACUUGUCCCUCAGACUCACAGAGAUUUUGCUCUCUCAUACUUUCUGUUAGACCCUGCACUGUAACCCACAUUGCCAGGGUAAGCCUAAACUUGCAGACUGAAUUAUGUUGGAAAUCUGAGGUGCUUGAGUCCAGCCUUUGGCCAAACACCACCAUAUGGAUGAGACCAUGGCACUGAGUGCCAGUCCUUCCUGAAAAACCUCCAGAUACAGUGACUCCAUCACCUCCACUCCAAUGUCUAACCAUUUCUGUGAAGGAAAGUCCUCCCAAUGUCCAACCAGAACCUCCCCAGGUGCAGCUUAAGGCUGUGUCCUCCUGUCCUGUUUCCUGGGAGAAGAGACUAAGCCCACUUGGCUACAAUCUCCUUUCAAGUAGCUGUAGAGACUGCUAAGGUCACCCCUGAGCCCCAUCUUCUCCAGACCAAACACACCCUCAGCUGCUCCUCAAAACCCUCAGCUGUUCCUCAAAACCACUGACGAAGAAGGAAUUCCUGCAGCUUCAAAAGUGAACAGAAGAACAUGGAACAAAUCCCAGUAUAAAAGUCACCAAAUAAUCAUGGAUAGUAAGCAACAUCACUGAGCACAGAGUUUCCCAAGUCAUCACCUUCUUCAAAACCAAUACCAAGUGACAGAAAACACUAAGAUGGUAACACUUCCUGGAAAAAGGCAUCCCUGAGCUAAAAAGGAACAUCAAAACUCUACCUGCUCAUCUGCUGAUUCCAGAAGAAAAAAUGUGGAAGGUAACACAUGGAAAGCAAUCGCAGGAAGCAAUAGGAUCUGGGUGCACAGCACUCUGAAAGCUCCAGAAGUGACACACUGCUCCAGGAUGGCUCUGUAAAGUGCUCCAAUAUAUGUCAGGCACUAUAGAAAUAAAGAAAAAAAGCCAUAGGGUGAAACGCCUCUGAAAGGCAGAGCCUCUGAAAAAGCCAAAUGGGAAAACACUCCAAAAAACACCAAAAAGAUGUGAAGAACCCCUCCAGGGCCAUGUGGUG
ensembl:lncRNA